UAGGGAAUCUUCCGCAAUGGGCGAAAGCCUGACGGAGCAACGCCGCGUGAGUGAUGAAGGUCUUCGGAUCGUAAAACUCUGUUAUUAGGGAAGAACAAAUGUGUAAGUAACUAUGCACGUCUUGACGGUACCUAAUCAGAAAGCCACGGCUAACUACGUGCCAGCAGCCGCGGUAAUACGUAGGUGGCAAGCGUUAUCCGGAAUUAUUGGGCGUAAAGCGCGCGUAGGCGGUUUUUUAAGUCUGAUGUGAAAGCCCACGGCUCAACCGUGGAGGGUCAUUGGAAACUGGAAAACUUGAGUGCAGAAGAGGAAAGUGGAAUUCCAUGUGUAGCGGUGAAAUGCGCAGAGAUAUGGAGGAACACCAGUGGCGAAGGCGACUUUCUGGUCUGUAACUGACGCUGAUGUGCGAAAGCGUGGGGAUCAAACAGGAUUAGAUACCCUGGUAGUCCACGCCGUAAACGAUGAGUGCUAAGUGUUAGGGGGUUUCCGCCCCUUAGUGCUGCAGCUAACGCAUUAAGCACCCCGCCUGGGGAGUACGACCGCAAGGUUG
rnacentral:rRNA from 1 species